rnacentral:rRNA from 1 species
AGAUCGGGAUAACACCUGGAAACAGAUGCUAAUACCGGAUAACAACAGAUGAUGCCUAUCAACUGUUUAAAAGAUGGUUCUGCUAUCACUCUUGGAUGGACCUGCGGUGCAUUAGCUAGUUGGUAGGGUAACGGCCUACCAAGGCGAUGAUGCAUAGCCGAGUUGAGAGACUGAUCGGCCACAUUGGGACUGAGACACGGCCCAAACUCCUACGGGAGGCAGCAGUC